AUUAUGGCUCAGGAUGAACGCUAGCGGCAGGCUUAACACAUGCAAGUCGAGGGGCAGCGCGAGUAGCAAUACUUGGCGGCGACCGGCGCAAGGGUGCGUAACGCGUGAGCAACAUGCCCGUAUCAGGGGGAUAAUCCAGGGAAACUUGGUCUAAUACCCCAUAGUAAUUUUUGUAAGGCAUCUUAUAAGAUUUAAAGCUUUGGUGGAUACGGAUUGGCUCGCGUGACAUUAGCUGGAUGGUAAGGUAACGGCUUACCAUGGCUAUGAUGUCUAGGGGUUCUGAGAGGAAGGUCCCCCCACACUGGAACUGAGACACGGUCCAGACUCCUACGGGAGGCAGCAGUGAGGAAUAUUGGACAAUGGAUGGAAAUCUGAUCCAGCCAUGCCGCGUGAAGGGAAAGAAGGUCCUAUGGAUUGUAAACUUCUUUUGUAUGGGAGCAAUAAGGCCUACGAGUAGGUUGAUGAGAGUACCAUACGAAUAAGCACCGGCUAACUCCGUGCCAGCCGCAGC
rnacentral:rRNA from 1 species